rnacentral:rRNA from 1 species
UACGUAGGGAGCGAGCGUUGUCCGGAUUCAUUGGGCGUAAAGAGCUCGUAGGCGGCUUGGCAAGUCGGGUGUGAAAACUCCAGCUCAACCUGGAGACGCCACCCGAUACCUGCCAUGGCUAGAGUCCGGUAGGGGACCACGAAUUCUGGUGUAGCGGUGAAAUGCGCAGAUAUCAGGAGGAACACCGGUGGCGAAGGCGGUGGUCUGGGCCGGAACUGACGCUGAGGAGCGAAAGCGUGGGGAGCGAACAGGA